GCAAAGCCAAGCAAACAAGAAAGCAGGCUCUGCUUCCCACCAAGGCUCACAAAAUGAGGAAUUCUCCAAACAUUGGAAGGCGUUGGGCUGCUAAAAUGAAUGGCAAAUUUCCCCCAAGACCUAUGGCUACCACACAGCACAGUACAAGAAAUAAGGAGCACAUAAAGAGUCGUGGAGAAGAGGACCCCCACAGCCCAGGGAGAGUUGUUCUUCAAUCCUGUGCUGAGAAGAGGACCCAGGUGUCACAAAGUGGGCCAUGGAAGACACAAAGAUGCACUGCCCAGAUUUUUCUUCUAGGAAAAACCACUUCCCAUCUCCAUGGAGAGGAUUUGCUUACUGUUCUGUUACAAGCUUCUUCCGGGUCUCCUUAGCUUUCCAGCUGGGAUUACCUAUUCUUGAGGCAGCCCUGGCAGAUAUCCGAGCACAGCAAAGUUAGUCAUGAGCGCACUCUUCUUGGGGAGUCCUCAGUGAGUGGCUGGCAAGAAAGUGCCCCCUUCUUCUCCCUCUUCUCCUACUUCUGCCUCUGCUAUUUCUGUUGCUGAUGAACUUUUCUGUCCAUUUGAAUAAUUUCAAAUAAAAAUUUAGAAAAAAGAAAUAAAGAAAAAA